rnacentral:lncRNA from 1 species
GCAGCUUCAUUCAACAUAUCAGCUGCGUCUUUGUGCAUGUCUAACUUGGAAAGGGCAACUGCCUGCAUGUAAAAUGCCGUGGACCAUUCUGGGUACACACAUUGUGCUUGCAUUGCAUCUCUAAGGGCAGCAUCAGGUUGAUCACACAUAAGGUAGCAAAGGCUUCUCCGACCAUAAACAGUUGGUGAUACCAUUGUUCCGACAUCUAUGAACUGCAAUAAAGACAGCAUCAGGUUGAUCACACAUAAGAUAGCAAAGGCUUCUCCUAGCAUAAACAGUUGGUGAUACCAUUGUUCCGACAUCUAUGAACUGCAAUAAAGACGAAGAUACAAGCAUAUUUAAUCUGAAGCAUUCUUUAGUUGGUUCAUGCUAUCCAAAUUUAAAAAAGCUAAGCAGUACACCACCAUUGAAUAAAAACUGAGCUAAAUCUUACAUGACUCAAUAAGAAUAGAAGACACAAGCUAUUGCUCAAUGAACCGCACUGGAAAAGAACUUAUGGUGUAAACUAUCAAACACAUGAGAAAUUGUCCCUCUAAAUAAGCAGAACACACAAAUCUUUUCCCUAAAAGUUGGUUUAUGCUAAGAUUAUCAGCAGCACAUGGAGUC